AAAUUGAAGAGUUUGAUCAUGGUUCAGAUUGAACGCUGGCGGCAGGCCUAACACAUGCAAGUCGAACGGUAACAGGAAGCAGCUUGCUGCUUCGCUGACGAGUGGCGGACGGGUGAGUAAUGUCUGGGAAACUGCCUGAUGGAGGGGGAUAACUACUGGAAACGGUGGCUAAUACCGCAUAACGUCGCAAGACCAAAGAGGGGGACCUUCGGGCCUCUUG
rnacentral:rRNA from 1 species